UCUUGAAUUACUUUGGAUCAGGAUAACAGUUAAUUCAUGAUUUAGGAAGAUGGGGCAAUUACUUUUUCACAUAGGGCUAGGUUGGUUUGUAUUAGCUUUUUUUCCUUAAAUAAAUGAAAUCAUCAUUUAAAUUUUUUGGGUAUUUUCUCAGAUUAUCUUUGUAAUAAUAUCUCUGAUAUUAAGAUUAGUUUGAUGAUUUGAAACAUCUAAGUGUGACAAAAAAGGAAAUACCAAAGAAAUCUGUAGGGGCCAAAUGCUUUUUCACAGCACUGUAUCAUUAAAAGGUGUAAAAGUCUGCUGAAUCAUAUCAAAUGCCGAUCUUAGUUUGAGAAGUUAAUGUUUGUAGUCACACAAAAUGUCUUCCAAAACAAACAGAACACUACAUUGCACAGUGUCAGUAAGAUGGCAUACGUGUAAACCCCUUUAUCCCACUUUCAUUCUAGGAUAUUUGGUUUGAGGUGGCACUAUAUGUGGCAGACCACUGGCAAGGAUUCCCAACCAGAGUGCAAGUGGGUGGUGAGAGGGUGUAGAAUAGACCUAGUCAACUUGCAACUUGCUAGUGAGCCAACCGCAGCCUUCUAACAUCCUCAUUCCGGCUCUUUGAUCAUUUUGUUACUAGGGUAAUUAGCCCAUUCAUUACUCAGCUCGGUUGCUACGCACAAAAAUGCUCUUAUCUAAUUUAAAAAAAGGUUUCAUACCAGCUUGUUGAAGCAGAGGGAUUUAUGCGAAUCAAAUUGACAGCCUACAUCUAAGAUUAAAAUGGCGCAUUUUCCGCUCUACUUAUGUAUAAUCUGGCCCUUCUAAAAAACAGAAUAGGCCUGGUGUAAGGAGUAGUUUGAGAAAGGCCCUCAAUAUAUAAUAACUGGUAGCAGAAAACAGACCACAAUCCGGUCUACAUCCAGCAUAUCAAUAAAUUGAGACAAGGUUUCAUCAUAGUCCCAGGCAGACAGACCAGACCUCCUCACAUGCUUGGCAGAAUAAGUAAAAGGACCGGGAAAGCCAAAAAGCCCAGGGAGGCCAAUGUGACCCUGGAGGGAUGAAUAAAGGACGGAGUGGAAAAGCAGAUAAGGCAAAGACAGAUGGAAAAGAAAAAGAAGGUGGACAAUGAGACUGGACGGAGAGGACGGACUUUGUCAAGAACAGUUAGGUGCCAGCAAUACAAACACGUGUCUAAAGAUCUCUUGAGCGGUGAUGCUCUGAUCUGUUACAGCACCGCAGGCUGUUCGCUACAGUGGAGUGGGUCUGGAUGAGCCAAGCCUUGAGGCAAGUGUAUAUGCCCAUGGACUGCAUGGUGCUGGCUUCCACGAUGUAGUCCAAGGGCACAUACCCUCACAUCAGGGAUCUCUGAAGUUCUCUCUGGUCAAACCUGCUCAGCAGAAGAGGAGAAAAAAAAACAGCGAGAAGGCUAGAAGCAGAAAUUACAAUUAUGUUUAACAAGAGGCUAAAAUGUUAAUGAAACAUGGUUAUGCUCAUUGCCAGUUUUAUGAUGUUUGGCGAACUUUAACAAGAAAAGCCAAGUAUGAAAAGGAUCUGAAGAGAGCAAGAGUUCAUUGCUCAUACAGUGCUUUAAAUAUACUCACAACACCAGCUGUCAUUAUCAUCAUGUCGUUAACAAGGGGACAUAAGUAGCGUUUAUGACAUUGGUAUUUUUAUGCACCCACAUUGGUUAUGGCAAUUCAUUUAGCAGGCAUUUCACAGGUCGAUAGAUAAAGUUAAAGUUCAAAAGCUUUACUAUACAGUAGAGUCAUGCUUCCCUCCCCUGUGGCCUUCAGAGGAAGCUGAGUGAGGGUGCACAACAUAAAAUACAAGUAAACAGUCAUUCUGAGAGUGCUUGAAACACUUUACAGUGCUAAAUAUACAGUAUUCCCUUACAAGAACAACCUUUUCACUUGCAGAGAUCAAGCAUAUUUCUUUGAAGAGUUUACAUUUAAUAAAACAAAGCAGCAGCUACUCACC